rnacentral:rRNA from 1 species
AUUGAACGCUGGCGGCAGGCCUAACACAUGCAAGUCGAGCGGAUGAAGGGAGCUUGCUCCUGGAUUCAGCGGCGGACGGGCGAGUAAUGCCUAGGAAUGUGCCUGGUAGUGGGGGAUAACGUCCGGAAACGGGCGCUAAUACCGCAUACGUCCUGAGGGAGAAAGUGGGGGAUCUUCGGACCUCACGCUAUAAGAUGAGCCUAGGUCGGAUUAGCUAGUUGGUGGGGUAAAGGCCUACCAAGGCGACGAUCCGUAACUGGUCUGAGAGGAUGAUCAGUCACACUGGAACUGAGACACGGUCCAGACUCCUACGGGAGGCAGCAGUGGGGAAUAUUGGACAAUGGGCGAAAGCCUGAUCCAGCCAUGCCGCGUGUGUGAAGAAGGUCUUCGGAUUGUAAAGCACUUUAAGUUGGGAGGAAGGGCAGUAAGUUAAUACCUUGCUGUUUUGACGUUACCAACAGAAUAAGCACCGGCUAACUUCGUG